rnacentral:rRNA from 1 species
UACGGAGGGGGCUAGCGUUGUUCGGAAUUACUGGGCGUAAAGCGCGCGUAGGCGGACCUGCAAGUCGGGGGUGAAAUCCUGGAGCUCAACUCCAGAACUGCCUUCGAUACUGGAGAGCUUGAGUCCGGGAGAGGUGAGUGGAACUGCGAGUGUAGAGGUGAAAUUCGUAGAUAUUCGCAAGAACACCAGUGGCGAAGGCGGCUCACUGGCCCGGUACUGACGCUGAGGUGCGAAAGCGUGGGGAGCAAACAGG